UACGUAGGGUGCAAGCGUUAAUCGGAAUUACUGGGCGUAAAGAGCGCGCAGGCGGUCGUUCAAGUCGCGUGUGAAAGCCCCCGGCUCAACUGGGGAGGGUCACGCGGAUACUGAUCGACUCGAAGGCAGGAGAGGGUAAGUGGAAUUCCCGGUGUAGUGGUGAAAUGCGUAGGAUAUCGGGAGGAACACCAGUGGCGAAGGGCGA
rnacentral:rRNA from 1 species